UACGUAGGGUGCAAGCGUUGUCCGAAAUUAUUGGGCGUAAAGAGCUCGUAGGUGGCCUGUCGCGUCGGCUGUGAAAACUCGGGGCUCAACUCCGAGCUUGCAGUCGAUACGGGCAGGCUAGAGUUCGGCAGGGGAGACUGGAAUUCCUGGUGUAGCGGUGAAAUGCGCAGAUAUCAGGAGGAACACCGGUGGCGAAGGCGGGUCUCUGGGCCGAUACUGACACUGAGGAGCGAAAGCGUGGGGAGCGAACAGG
rnacentral:rRNA from 1 species